rnacentral:rRNA from 1 species
GACCUCGGAUCAGGUAGGGAUACCCGCUGAACUUAAGCAUAUCAAUAAGCGGAGGAAAAGAAACCAACAGGGAUUGCCCUAGUAACGGCGAGUGAAGCGGCAACAGCUCAAAUUUGAAAUCUGGCGCAAGCCCGAGUUGUAAUUUGUAGAGGAUGCUUCGGCGUCGGCCCCGGUCUAAGUUCCUUGGAACAGGACGUCCUAGAGGGUGAGAACCCCGUCUUCGAUCGGGUCGCCGUCGCCAUGUGAAGCUCCUUCGACGAGUCGAGUUGUUUGGGAAUGCAGCUCUAAGCGGGAGGUAAAUCUCUUCUAAAGCUAAAUAACGGCCAGAGACCGAUAGCGCACAAGUAGAGUGAUCGAAAGAUGAAAAGCACUUUGGAAAGAGAGUUAAAAAGUACGUGAAAUUGUUGAAAGGGAAGCUC